rnacentral:rRNA from 1 species
AUUGAACGCUGGCGGCAGGCCUAACACAUGCAAGUCGGACGGUAGCACAGGGGAGCUUGCUCCUCGGGUGACGAGUGGCGGACGGGUGAGUAAUGUUUGGGGAUCUGCCCGAUAGAGGGGGAUAACCACUGGGAACGGUGGCUAAUACCGCAUAACGUCGCAAGACCAAAGAGGGGGACCUUCGGGCCUCUCACUAUCGGAUGAACCCAGAUGGGAUUAGCUAGUAGGCGGGGUAACGGCCCACCUAGGCGACGAUCCCUAGCUGGUCUGAGAGGAUGACCAGCCACACUGGAACUGAGACACGGUCCAGACUCCUACGGGAGGCAGAAGUGGGGAAUAUUGCACAAUGGGCGCAAGCCUGAUGCAGCCAUGCCGCGUGUAUGAAGAAGGCCUUCGGGUUGUAAAGUACUUUCAGCGGGGAGGAAGGCGAUGUGGUUAAUAACCGCAUUGAUUGACGUUACCCGCAGAAGAAGCACCGGCUAACUCCGUGCCAGCCGCCGCCGUAA